UAAAGGGUGAGAUGGAAAAACUGCAACCAACUUCAGACUGCUGUCAUUUCUAAGGCACUCCCACCACAAGUGGUUAUCCUUAGAGCACUCCAGCAUUUAAAUGUGAAUAAAUCUUUUGUGUCUCGUACCAUCGCUCGUUACCGUGAUACUGGUAGAGUAGCCCGACGUCAAGGAAGUGGACGGAAGAAAACAGCAACAUCAGCAAAAUUGGUUUGAAAAGUAAAGAAGCGACUUGAUCGAAACGCGCGUGGCCGUGGCCGAAAAAUGGCUCGUGAGCUGAACAUAUCGCAAUAUUCCAUUCGGCAAAUAUUGAAAAAUGAGCUCGGGGUAAAACCAUUGAAAUUCCAAAAAAUGCAAGAACUCACACCGCAACCGAAAGAAAAUGGACUCAAAAGAGUU